rnacentral:lncRNA from 10 species
AAGAAGAGGGCUUUUUUCCCCACUCUGUGAAGUUGCUUGCUUGGCUGGAAGUCCAGAGCUAUCAGAGGCCAUCCCUUACCCCGUGAAGGAGCUGUCUUGCAAUAGAAGAAGCAGCCCACCCAAGGAGAGAAACAGGGAAAUUCUUCUUCUUGUGCCCAUACUCUGGAACUUUCCUACGACAAGGAGCAAUUUGCUGUAUGUUUAUUUUCUUUGGAAUCAUCUCUCCUUCAUGGAAGCAGGGUUAUUUAUCAACCUGUGAUGGAGCUCUUCCUGGUUUGGUUAGGGCAUGCUGCAUACUGCUCCUGUAAUAAUGCUUUCUUUGGCCAGGACACAAACCACAGUCAAAAAAGGUCUUCCUGAGUUCUGAAGGUCAAGCAAUUAGAAUUUUCUCAGGCUUGUAGAAGAGUGGAAUUCUGGAAACC